GCAAUGUCCUGCGGCUACAUCUCCAGGAAGUUCGUAGGGUCCCAAGCUCCUGGAGCAUGUUGAUGUCUCUGCUGUGGAGGAUGGUCUGCGGAGCCUGUACAUCAACCACUGUUGUUUGGGAAAAACGCCGCUUUUUUUAAUCAGUUCAUUUUGUAUUCUACCCCAGAAGACCUCCAGGAG